GUGCUUGCUUUGGAAGCACAUAUACUCAAACUGUAAUCAUACAAAGAAGAUAAGCAUGGCCCCUGAGCAAGGAUGAAAUGCAAAUUCGUGGAGCAUUUCAUAUUUAG